UACCAAAGGAUAAUAGUAUUCCGCUGGUCUUAGGCACCAAAAUCCUUGGUGCAAAU
rnacentral:tRNA from 1 species